AACUCUCAACCCCCUUGUUUUGUAACGAAGCAGGCGUGGGCUUGGAUUAUGGCUGUCUGCUGGACUCUUUGAGUAGAGAUCGGCUCGGCUGAAAUACACGAGUAACCCAGUUUGAAUAUUAACGGCUUGACUCGGCGUAAUAGCUUUAUUUCGCUGAGGACGUCUACCUUUCGAAUCGUUAGUGGUGCUUCUAAUGCUUCAUCUAGAACUUUUAAGC
rnacentral:misc_RNA from 1 species